UACAGAGGGCGCGAGCGUUAAUCGGAAUUACUGGGCGUAAAGCGUGCGUAGACGGCUAUCUAAGUCGGGUGUGAAAGCCCCGGGCUCAACCUGGGGAUUGCAUUCGAGACUGAAUAGCUAGGGUACGGUAGAGGGAAGUGGAAUUUCCGGUGUAGCGGUGAAAUGCGUAGAUAUCGGAAGGAACAUCAGUGGCGAAAGCGACUUCCUGGACCAGUACCGACGUUCAGGCACGAAAGCGUGGGGAGCAAACAGG
rnacentral:rRNA from 1 species